rnacentral:rRNA from 1 species
AUUGAACGCUGGCGGCACGCUUUACACAUGCAAGUCGAACGGCAGCGCGGGCUUCGGCCUGGCGGCGAGUGGCGAACGGGUGAGUAAUACAUCGGAACGUGCCCAGUAGUGGGGGAUAGCUCGGCGAAAGCCGGAUUAAUACCGCAUACGACCUGAGGGUGAAAGCGGGGGAUCUUCGGACCUCGCGCUAUUGGAGCGGCCGAUGGCAGAUUAGCUAGUUGGUGGGGUAAAGGCCUACCAAGGCGACGAUCUGUAGCUGGUCUGAGAGGACGACCAGCCACACUGGGACUGAGACACGGCCCAGACUCCUACGGGAGGCAGCAGUGGGGAAUUUUGGACAAUGGGCGAAAGCCUGAUCCAGCAAUGCCGCGUGUGUGAUGAAGGCCUUCGGGUUGUAAAGCACUUUUGGCGGGAACGAAAAGGACUGUGCCAAUACCACGGUUCGAUGACGGUACCCGCAGAAUAAGCACCGGCUAACUACGUG